rnacentral:rRNA from 1 species
AACGAACGCUGGCGGCAUGCCUAACACAUGCAAGUCGAACGAGACCUUCGGGUCUAGUGGCGCACGGGUGCGUAACACGUGGGAAUCUGCCCUUUGCUUCGGAAUAACAGUUAGAAAUGACUGCUAAUACCGGAUGAUGUCGAAAGACCAAAGAUUUAUCGGCAAAGGAUGAGCCCGCGUAGGAUUAGGUAGUUGGUGGGGUAAAGGCCUACCAAGCCGACGAUCCUUAGCUGGUCUGAGAGGAUGAUCAGCCACACUGGGACUGAGACACGGCCCAGACUCCUACGGGAGGGAGCAGUGGGGAAUAUUGGACAAUGGGCGAAAGCCUGAUCCAGCAAUGCCGCGUGAGUGAUGAAGGCCUUAGGGUUGUAAAGCUCUUUUACCAGGGAUGAUAAUGACAGUACCUGGAGAAUAAGCUCCGGCUAACUCCGUG